rnacentral:lncRNA from 12 species
AAAACUUUUUACAAAAAGAAGUUUUAAAUGAAUUGUAAAUGAUUAAACAUUAAGAGAAGAUCUAUUGACAUUUUGUGCUUGUGAUAUAUUGGUGUUGAUUCCACUUGGUUUGAACUUCAGCAUGCAUUGACUAAUUUAGAUGAAGCUCAAGCCAUAUGUUCAAGUUGGAGGAGGCUGAUGCAUUGAUAUUCGGAUAUAUUAGAGGUCCAAAUACAUUGUGGAGAUACUGUUCUGUGCAUGUGCAGUAUAGUGCAACAUAGGUUUUUUUAUAAUAUGCAUUCAACAGGUAGGCCUAUGGAUAAAGUACUGUAUCACUGUGAAUCUGGAAUUAUGUUGAACUGUCAGACAAUAGUGUGGUCAAUUAUAAAACAGCCAGCGGGGUGUUCAGAGUGAGCAUGCUGUGUGUGUGUGUGUCAUUUAAUGAACUUCAUGUCACGUUUUCUGCCACUGUACUGUGCUCAGUGCUGUGCUUAUGACCCGGAGCAUUUGACUCUUCAACCAAUCACAAGACAGACAGACGGUGAUGCGUAAUCAUUGUGAUCGGCUGUCUCUAUGUGUCUGAUACUGUACAGAGAAACGAGCCUGAUAUCAUCAGAUACAGACAGAUGUUCAUCGCACCGGUCAUCUGAGCGCCACUUCUGUAACAAGGAUGGACCAUGACUGGCAUGGCAGCAGGAGAAGUGGUCACCGCAGCAGACACUAUGAGGAUGAGGAUGAGUCUGUCUACAUUGGCGUUCCAGUGCCACGGAGCUACAGAAGGAAGCGCAGACAUCACAGACAUACAUCACGUCAUUCCAACGAUCGCGACAGUCGGGAGAGACACCACAACCGCCCCGAACACCACGACCGAGAGGAACCAUGUGACCCAGAUGAGGGCGAGCAGGAUUCAAACGAGCUUUCUGACAUCAACUCCACCAGUGAGCUUCUCUUAACCUCUUAUUAUUACCCUGACCUAACAAAACAAGUAUCACUGAGAUUCUAUUAGUUUAGUUACUUUAGUUUAGUUGAUUAGUGUUGUGCUGAGCAUUCUAUUUUGGUGUUCAAAUGUUUAAAUGACAGACUUUUUGAAAAAUUGCUUGUAAAUCUCAUUAAGUUUAUGAUAAUCCAUGAAAUCUUA